CACAGUGGGGAAUCUUGCACAAUGGGCGAAAGCCUGAUGCAGCCAUGCCGCGUGAGUGAUGAAGGCCUUAGGGUUGUAAAAUUCUUUCACCGGGGAAGAUAAUGACGGUACCCGGAGAAGAAGCCCCGGCUAACUUCGUGCCAGCAGCCGCGGUAAUACGAAGGGGGCUAGCGUUGCUCGGAAUUACUGGGCGUAAAGGGAGCGUAGGCGGACAUUUAAGUCAGGGGUGAAAUCCCGGAGCUCAACUCUGGAACUGCCUUUGAUACUGGAUGUCUUGAGUGUGAUAGAGGUAUGUGGAAUUCCGAGUGUAGAGGUGAAAUUCGUAGAUAUUCGGAAGAACACCAGUGGCGAAGGCGACUUACUGGACCAUUACUGACGCUGAGGCUCGAAAGCGUGGGGAGCAAACAGGAUUAGAUACCCUGGUAGA
rnacentral:rRNA from 1 species